CCCAAAAAUAAAUCCCAGCAGGAUAUACAUGCACCAAUUCAAAUUGCACUGCCACUGGGAUUCCUGGGUUAUUUAUGCAAAAGGAUACAUGUCAUGUUCUCCUUUCUGUUAAUUAAUUUGCUGUCUCUGUACUUCCAACUAGUAUUGCUGAGUAAAUUAUGGUAACUGGAAUAUCUGCAUGCAAUCUGUUUCGUUGGCAGCUCCAUUUAAAAAUAUCAGUAUAUCCCCUAAAAGUAUCAAAAAAAUCCACAAAGAAUCAUUUGUUCAAUACGUUUUGAAGCAACAAAUUCAAUAGAAAUAUUAUUGCAUGUUUAUACAGUAGAU
rnacentral:lncRNA from 1 species